AUUGAACGCUGGCGGCAGGCCUAACACAUGCAAGUCGAGCGGAUGACAGGAGUUUGCUCCUGGAUUCAGCGGCGGACGGGUGAGUAAUGCCUAGGAAUCUGCCUGGUAGUGGGGGACAACGUUUCGAAAGGAACGCUAAUACCGCAUACGUCCUACGGGAGAAAGCAGGGGACCUUCGGGCCUUGCGCUAUCAGAUGAGCCUAGGUCGGAUUAGCUAGUUGGUGAGGUAAUGGCUCACCAAGGCGACGAUCCGUAACUGGUCUGAGAGGAUGAGCAGUCACACUGGAACGGAGACACGGUACAGACUCCUACGGGAGGCGGCAGUGGGGAAUAUUGGACAAUGGGCGAAAGCCUGAUCCAGCCAUGCCGCGUGUGUGAAGAAGGUCUUCGGAUUGUAAAGCACUUUAAGUUGGGAGGAAGGGUUGUAGAUUAAUACUCUGCAAUUUUGACGUUACCGACAGAAUAAGCACCGGCUAACUCUGUGCCAGCAGCCGCAGUAACAC
rnacentral:rRNA from 1 species